CUCAAACCAUUAAAUGUCCUGGUGGAUAUUGAAGGUCGCAUGAGAUUAGCAGACUUUGGACUAAGUCGUGUCCUAAAUGAAAACGAAAGCACAGUUCAUACAGAUCCCAAAGGAACUUUAGGCUGGAUGCCCUCUGAAGUAAUCGAAGCAAUGAAUACGAAAGAAAUAGGACGUUAUAAAAAGAAAUCUGAUAUCCAUGUUGCAGGAAUGAUUGCUUUCUUCAUUUUAACCAAAGGUGAACAUCCCUUUGGUGAUUGUUUGCAUGAUCGUAUGGCAAAUAUUUUGAAUGGAAAUCCAGUCAACUUGGCCAAUCUUGAAGAUCUUGAGGCUAGACAGUUUAUUUCAUGGUUGAUCUCUCAUAAGAUUGAUGAUAGACCUUAUGCCGAUGAAGCAUCGAUUCAUCCCUUUUUGGAUCAAGUAGAAAUUUAUGAAGAGUUUCAUAAGCCAAUAAUCUCUUGCACUGGUCGAUGACAUUCCAAUGUAAAAACGUUCAACGUUUUGCGAUUUCAAUAUUAAAGACACAGCAUAUAUAUAUAUCAUCCCCUUGGUGCAGAGGAAUAAUAAAAUAGAAAAGUCCAACAACUGAUGGCACUUGCCUUAACUAACCGCGAUAUAAAAUGUUAGCAAAUGG